GGCUUAUGAUGUAAACAUACCAGCAAGUCGAACAGCUGAGUUGGGAGAAAGAAAAUUUAAAAAAGAUGUUAAAAUCCCUAAAAGGACGCUGAAUUUACCAGGAUACGUUUAACAGGGAAACCAGGGACCGGUAUGUGGAUAAAACGGCACUUUUAACGGGUUGGAUCCAUGUGAAAUUUCCAGCAAACAGUGGGAGCACAAGUCCAAGCAGGAUAUGAGAACCAUCUCUCUGCUAACAGCUACAGUACUAGUGAAUGGAUUGAACCUUGAAUGCUAUAUCGACGUUCAGUGGCUGGGGAACAAAGUGAAUGAGAUGAUACGAAGGACACAUGGAUCCAACAGGAUGCAUAUGGAACGAGACUGUGUUUUGGCUCGGACACACAUCCUUUGGAAAUUAACGGUGUCUGUUCAAGCUCCUGUGGUGUCUGCUGGGAUAGCCAUGUUUACCAGCCUCCACCUCAGGCUCUUCCCCACUGAGAGCUUCAUGCCCAACAAGGGUGUUGCACACCAAAUCCCCCUGAUUCAGGAGCUCAAAUAAACAACCUACGGGCAGCACCUCCUCUCCUCAGACUGUCCCCUGUUACCAAGAUCUCAUACCGCUCCCCUGAAGAACACCUCCAGAUUUCUCCAGAAGUCACCUCAAGAGAUUACAUGCCUCAUUGCUCCUGUCCUCCAUCUUAGCCUGAAUUUAGCAUAUGCAUUGUGUUGCGCUGUGUUUACCACAACCGAUCCACACGGACGGUCUCUCCGUUACAGUAGAACUCUGUGAUGACAGGUAAUACCACAUCCUUGUAGACCUGCUGAUGGAGCCCCCUUCUGUUCCUUGAAUGCCUGCAGGAUUUCCGUCACCUAAUCUCCCAUGAUUAGCCUUUGCCACUGGGUCCAGGUCAUUAAUCCCGUCUCCUACACUGAGUGACAAUAAUCUCUGCUCACUGGGCAGGAGAGCCAGCUCCAUUUGUCACUCUGUCACCCAAUGGCUCUCACAUGGGAGAGGACAAGGACCAUUUAUCUGUGGAAUGUGCUGCAGUAACUGCAGGGCCGGCAAAAAAAAAAAAUCCAUCCUUCCUCAGGAUUGUACAGUGAUUUGGAGCGAAGAUGAAAGCUUGAUUCCUCUUGUUUUGCAAUGAGUGUACAACGUCUUUGUCAUUAAAUAUAAUGUCAGUCAGUCAUCAAUGUAUUUUUGUCUGAUACAGCAAAUUCAAGGU